UAGGGAAUCUUCGGCAAUGGGGGGAACCCUGACCGAGCAACGCCGCGUGAGUGAAGAAGGUUUUCGGAUCGUAAAGCUCUGUUGUUAGAGAAGAACAGCGCAUAGAGUAACUGUUAUGCGUGUGACGGUAUCUAACCAGAAAGCCACGGCUAACUACGUGCCAGCAGCCGCGGUAAUACGUAGGUGGCAAGCGUUGUCCGGAUUUAUUGGGCGUAAAGCGAGCGCAGGCGGUCAAUUAAGUCUGAUGUGAAAGCCCCCGGCUCAACCGGGGAGGGUCAUUGGAGACUGGUUGACUUGAGUGCAGAAGGGGAGAGUGGAAGUCCAUGUGUGGCGGUGAAAUGCGUAGAUAUAUGGAGGAACACCAGUGGCGAAGGCGACUCUCUGGUCUGUAACUGACGCUGAGGAUCGAAAGCGUGGGUAGCAAACAGG
rnacentral:rRNA from 1 species